AGACAUCAGGCUGCACACAGAAACUUAAUUCUAGAUUCUGAACAAAAUGAAAGUUAUUUCAUCAAAAUGCUUCAUUUUAGUGAUUUUAGGCACUUCAAGCUUGUUAACAUCAAAUGUCUUUUGUUCAGAUGAAUUAAUGAUGUCCAAUCUUGCCAGCAAAGAAAAUUAUGACAAAUAUUCUGAGCCUGAAGGAGACCUUAAGGGGGAAAAGGAAAGAAGUCUGAAUUUUGAAGAACUAAAAAACUGGGGUCCAAAAACUGUCAUUAAGGUGAGUGCACCCGCAGUCAACAAAAUGCCACACUCGGCAGCCAACUUGCCGUUAAGAUUUGGGAGGACCGUGGAAGAAGAAAGAAGCACUGGGGUGAUGGCCAAUCUGCCUCUGAGAUUUGGAAGAAAUAUAAAGGAAAGCAUCUCAAGACAUGUUCCUAACCUGCCCCAGAGGUUUGGGAGAACAACAGCCAAAAGUGUCGCCAAGGCACUGAGUGAUUUGCUCCAACAAUCCAUGCAUUCGCCAUCUGCCAGUGAGCUACUCCAUGAACUGCCAGCCUCAAGAAAUCCAGAAUUCUGAUCAAAAACUCCCAUGGAGACUGGGAUUCAAGAAAAUAGAUGGUGUGGAACUGAAACAAGAAAAAUAAGCCUGGACCUUGUCCCCGAAGACAAUUUAAGCUGUGAUCUGUAAUCU